rnacentral:rRNA from 1 species
CUUCCGUAAGGGUAACCUGCGGAGGGAUCAUUACACAAUAACAAGGCGGGUUGGACACCCCCCGCUGGGCACUGCUUCACGGCGUGCGCGGCGGGGCCGGCCCUGCUGAAUUAUUUACCCGUGUCUUUUGCGUACUUCUUGUUUCCUGGGUGGGCUCGCCCGCCCUCAGGACCAACCACAAACCUUUUGCAAUAGCAAUCAGCGUCAGUAACAACGUAAUUAAUUACAACUUUCAACAACGGAUCUCUUGGUUCUGGCAUCGAUGAAGAACGCAGCGAAAUGCGAUACGUAGUGUGAAUUGCAGAAUUCAGUGAAUCAUCGAAUCUUUGAACGCACAUUGCGCCCUUUGGUAUUCCAAAGGGCAUGCCUGUUCGAGCGUCAUUUGUACCCUCAAGCUUUGCUUGGUGUUGGGCGUCUUUUGUCUCCAGUUCGCUGGAGACUCGCCUUAAAGUCAUUGGCAGCCGGCCUACUGGUUUCGGAGCGCAGCACAAGUCGCGCUCUUCGCCAGCCAAGGUCAGCGUCCAGCAAGCCUUUUUUUCAACCUUUGACCUCGGAUCAGGUAGGGAUACCCGCUGAACUUAAGCAUAUCAAUAAGCGGAGGAA